rnacentral:rRNA from 1 species
AACGAACGCUGGCGGCAUGCCUAACACAUGCAAGUCGAACGAGACCUUCGGGUCUAGUGGCGCACGGGUGCGUAACGCGUGGGAAUCUGCCUUUAGGUUCGGAAUAACUCAGAGAAAUUUGAGCUAAUACCGGAUGAUGUCUUCGGACCAAAGAUUUAUCGCCUUUAGAUGGGCCCGCGUUGGAUUAGCUAGUUGGUGGGGUAAAGGCCUACCAAGGCGACGAUCCAUAGCUGGUCUGAGAGGAUGAUCAGCCACACUGGGACUGAGACACGGCCCAGACUCCUACGGGAGGCAGCAGUGGGGAAUAUUGGACAAUGGGCGAAAGCCUGAUCCAGCAAUGCCGCGUGAGUGAUGAAGGCCUUAGGGUUGUAAAGCUCUUUUACCCGAGAUGAUAAUGACAGUAUCGGGAGAAUAAGCUCCGGCUAACUCCGUG